UACUCUUUCUUAACCUCUUCCAGGGUAGACUUCUGUUCGUGAUUUUUGAAUUGGUGCCUGAUUAAUUGGUGAUGGUUUGAAUUUGAAUAGCUACUAAGCAAGCUGACAAAAACAACUCCUAAGCCGGUAACAAUCUUGAAUUUGCCUUUUUGAAACUUUGUUUUGAACGAGCAAUUUAUAAAUGGGUCUGCGGUAUUGGAUUUUCUGCUUACUGUUGAUGAUAUUUGAUUAUUCUAGACAAAUCUUAGCAUGUUUUCUGGGACCCAAGAAAAGUGUGCUACAUGUGGAAAAACUACUUAUCCGUUGGAGAAGGUAGGAUUCAGAAAUCUCAUUAACAAAUUGUUUGAUGAUAUUUGUUUUAGGGGUCAUAAACACCUUAGUUGCAUAUUGGUUAUUAGUGACAGUGUUCAUUGUUGAGGCGCCCUAAGGACAUGGAUCUGUAUCAAUAUUCAAUUUCCUCUUUUAGUCUUUCUCUUGUCCACUAGUUGUAAUGUUGCGUGCAAUGGUUAUAAAGCAAAUAGGGGAGACCUUCU
rnacentral:lncRNA from 1 species